rnacentral:rRNA from 1 species
AUUGAACGCUGGCGGCAUGCCUUACACAUGCAAGUCGAACGGCAGCACGGGAGCUUGCUCCUGGUGGCGAGUGGCGAACGGGUGAGUAAUACAUCGGAACGUACCCAGGAGUGGGGGAUAACGUAGCGAAAGUUACGCUAAUACCGCAUAUUCUGUGAGCAGGAAAGCGGGGGAUCGCAAGACCUCGCGCUCUUGGAGCGGCCGAUGUCGGAUUAGCUAGUUGGUGAGGUAAAAGCUCACCAGGGCGACGAUCCGUAGCAGGUCUGAGAGGAUGAUCUGCCACACUGGGACCGAGACACGGCCCAGACUCCUACGGGAGGCAGCAGUGGGGAAUUUUGGACAAUGGGGGCAACCCUGAUCCAGCCAUGCCGCGUGAGUGAAGAAGGCCUUCGGGUUGUAAAGCUCUUUCGGCGGGGAAGAAAUGGCAACGGCUAAUAUCCGUUGUUGAUGACGGUACCCGCAUAAGAAGCACCGGCUAACUACGUGCCAGCAGCCGCGGUAA